CCUUCGCUGCAGCCGGGUCCCUGAUCCCGACGCUGAACCUGAAAGUGUGAGCAGCGAUCGCAGCAGAGACGUCUCCGUUUAUCUCGGGAACUAGGGAACAAGCUGAGUCUCACUCUUAUGCACCGUAUUUUUCUCGAGAAGGUAACUCAGAGGUAGCGAUCAGAAAGCCCUCUGCAGGAGGACCAGCUUUAUGAAGAAGAAAAAAAAAAACUUCGUGUCGUUCUCUUGGACUCGCGGUAGACCAGCGGUGGAUAUUUGUUGAAGGGAGACCAUUUCGGAGCUGACUGUAAUUUUCCUCUAAUCCGAACCUGUCAGAAAGUUGAGAGUCAAUCAAGCCCGCCCAAAGUGGAAACAAAGACCAUUCGCCUGCCAGGAACACAGUGACCUUUCCUGGCCUGGCAUAUGAAAACUUCAACUUACAAGGAUAGGGUGAUCGAAGAGUGUGACCUCCAGAAUAGACCUCCUUCUCCUCUCUGAAGACAGCCUUGCAUCCAGCAAGAAACUGGCUUCUCUUCGCCCUCUUAAAAAGGCCUUCCUUGACUCAGGACUUGUUAGGUGAAGAAACAAGUCCCUAAAGGGGACUUGGAAACCAACCCCAAGUCACAAAGCACUGUUCUUUCCAAUGCUCUUUACGCUGCUGUUGCAAGCUGUGGAGUUGGUGUCCUUCCCCCACUGACCUAUAUGGGUGAAGGUGGUGGAAAGUGUCCUGGCUUGCUUGUGAUUAAU